UACGUAGGGGGCUAGCGUUGUCCGGAAUCAUUGGGCGUAAAGAGCGUGUAGGCGGCCUGGUAAGUCCGCUGUAAAAGUCAAAGGCUCAACCUUUGAAUGUCAGUGGAUACUGCCGGGCUAGAGUCCGGAAGAGGCGAGUGGAACUCCUGGUGUAGCGGUGGAAUGCGCAGAUAUCAGGAAGAACACCAACGGCGAAGGCAGCUCGCUAGGACGGUACUGACGCUGAGACACGAAAGCGUGGGGAGCAAACAGG
rnacentral:rRNA from 1 species